rnacentral:lncRNA from 10 species
AUUUCACAAUAAUUUGAUUCAAAUAUUUGCCUCAUGCAACUGUUUCCUGGCAACCACUUCCCUAUGGGACAGCAGAUACAACCUAGUUGACUUGCCCCCUAUUCCCACCCCCACCAUAUGGCCUGUGCAGGUAUGCCACAGUGACACCCUCUCACAGCAUACCUGCAUGGAGCACCGACCUGCUUACUUUGAACCCGCCAAUAAGAAGUUAAUAUAGAAAACCUGCUUGGGUAACACCGUGGACCCCAAUAAAGGCUUUUACACUCAGGUCACUUGCCCUUGCUCUCUCUUGCUCCCCACUGUGGUUGAAUUUGUGUGUUCCAGAUGGCUCCCCACUUUCAUUGGCUCUGUGAGGCAUGCCACCCUCUUCUCUCUGUGAAAAAACGCACUGCUUAUUUUCUUCAAGUCAAAAUGCCUUAAAGGAGCAGUAUCUUGAAUGUGACGUGGCAGACUCAAGGGGAUGCUCUUCAACAUAAAGCAUCAGAAGCCUGAGUAACAUUUUCUGAUCUUGACUCUACGUGACAAGUCGAAAAGAAUUUUUUUCAAUUUAGUUUUUACCAAGUCAGAUUCUAUUUGACAAUAUGGCAGCACUACACAUGGAAAGUAACUUAUUACUUUGGGCAUCUAGUUUAAAUAGAGACAAUCCAUAAUGUGCAUGUGAAAAAAAAUGGCCACUGUUCUUGAAGCAUUGCCCUUGAGCAAGCAACAAGUUUAAAUCUGUCAGUGUGGAAGAAAUUGUUUUUUCUUAAUUGCUUAAUUGUUAACCCUAGGAGAAAAUGACAAUAAAAUUCUACUUCAAAAUGUUUAUGUUUUUGGAAUUACAGGUACAUGUAGAAACCAUAAGUGGAACACUGUAUUAACUGAAUAUCAUUGAGAAACUUCAAGCAAACAUGUUACUGAUAUAAAUUAAAGAAUAAUUGAAAAGGAAAAGACCUCCUUCCUUUUUUCCCCAAAAGAUUAAAACUUCUGCAUAGGUCGCUUCCAAGAUGGACGAAUAGGAACAACUCCAACCUACAGCUCCCAGCGAGAUUGAUGCAGAAGAUGGGCGAUUUCUGCAUUUCCAACUGAGGUCUCUGAAGAAUCUCCAUACCAUCUUCCACAAUUGUUGAACUAAUUUACACUUCCAGUAACAAUGUGACCAACAACACAUGGAAGCUGCCAAGGCUUGGGGUUUACACCCUCUGAAGCAAUGGCCUGAGCUGCACCUUGGACCUUUUUAGCCAAAGCUGAAGCAGCUGAGAGGCAAGGCCCCAAGUCUCAGGCUUCACACAGUAGGGGGCACCUGGACCUAGCCCAGGAAACUAUUUUUCCCUUAAUGGCAUACCCUCCCAUCACAGGCCCAGAAGCCUAGGACAUAACCUGGAGGCAUUUUCCCCUUUGUCUUGGUGAUUAGAUGCAGCACCCCCAGGGGGAACUUUGCCCCUCCCAUUUGGGCACAACCACUGAAGACUUCCUCAUCUUUGCCACAUAAAAGCCCCAGAACACAGCCCCAUUUCUGGCAACCCUCUUUGGGUCCCCUCUCUUUGCUGAGAACUUUUCUGUUGCUUAAUAAAACUUUGCUCUACAUUAUUCCUUCUCUGGUGUCUGCGUGCUUUAUUCUUCUUGGUCAUGGGACAAGAACUUAGACCUAGUUGAACUGAGGAGCGAUUAGGCUGCAACACUAAUAUCAACCAAAAAAUUAGAGAACAAAGGGCAAACAGACCUCAAAGCUAGCAGAAGACAAGAAACAACCCAAAUCAGAGCAGAUCUGAAGGAGACGGAGACACAGUAAAACUACCCUAAGAACAAUGAAUCCAGGAGGUUGUUUUUUUAAAAAAUUAAUAAAAUAGCUCACCAGCUAGACUAAUAAAGAAGAAAAGAGAAG